UUCGUGUUGUCCUUGUUGUUCUUUUUGGGGGGUUUUGGGUGUUUUUUUUAUUUUUUUUAUUUGUGUUGUUUUGGGUUUUGAGUUUAAAGUUUUGCUGGUGGUAGAUCUGGGAAUCAGAGUGCAUGGUUUUGUUUGUUUGAUUUGUUUUGGUGUGGCUUUGAUGAGUUUUUUCGGGAUUUGAGUGCUGUUUUUUGUUCUGUUGAAGUGCAUGCCUGACUCUACUUUAUCGUGUUUGGUUGCGGAGAAAAUGGAGGAAAGGAAAAGAAAAGAAAUGAAAAAUUGUUUGAUUGUAUAUAAUAUGGGUGGUUUUUCAUCCUCCGGGACUCUAGAGGAAAUGAAUCUUUUCCUAGUUGAGGAACGAAGGGGACGGAUAGGGGUUUUUUAGGCAUUAUGAUUUCAUGCUUGGAAGAUGUUUGAUUUACUGCCAGUGGCGUUUUGGAUAUCUUUUUUAGAUUUGAGGCUAGGAAAGACUUUGAGUUAGUGAAUGUUCUCUUGCUGCUUCGAAGAUGAAUAAGGGGGCUUGAUCUCUUUGAGGAUCAUUAGUUCAAGCAGUGACAUGUAAUUGCUUGACAACGAGAGAGAGCAUGCUAGUCAGCAUUUAUGCGAGGAACAUGACUGUGUACAGGCGUGUUCUCUGUCGCUGUCAUACAAUCUUCUCAUCAAGGCUGUCUUACAUAUUCACCUUGUUCGUGAGCGUUGGACCUCAAGGCAUACAGACUAGCAGGAUUUGAUCACUCACCAAACAAGACACAGGUUGCAUCCUUGAGGAAAUCUCCAAGUAAGCCACGCAUAUAUGCACUUCCCAUAUCCACAUGCAUUCAAAAAGGAAGCAUAAUAUUCAAUGAGGGAGAGGCUGCCAUAGAAGAUCCCCACUUCCCAUAAGAAGAAGAUCUCUACAGGCUGGUUGUACUAAGGGGAAUUUUGGGGAUCCUCACGCAGCCAUAGAAGGAAUGGGCUGCCAUAUAAAAAAGAAUAUAAGAACAGGGAAAGGAGGACUCUCGAGAGCAUGCAUAGAUUUUGGAGAGCAGCAGGGGACUUUGGACAGCAAAUUUGGUUGCCACUUUGACGCACCAAGAGAGGAUUUUCUGAAAAACACGCACAACAGAUUUCUGGGCUGCUACAACACAACACACAUCAUUGAGGCUUCUCCGACAGGCAUGCAUUAUCAGUUUUGAAAAGAAAAAUGGAGGAAAGGAAAAGGAAAAAAGAAUCUGAUUAUUUAUGAGUGGUUUUUCAUGGUUUGGAACCUGGGAGGAAAUGAAUCAUAUAUCCUUUCAUAGGUGAGAUUUCAUGCUAGGAAGAUGUUGGGUUUGCUCCCAGUGGCAUUUUUGGUGAGUGAAUGUCCAAGGUCCACAUUUUUAAUGAGAGUGAUGGACAAACUUGCAGUUUAAUAUCUUUGUUAUUUUUAUACCAAUAUUUGGGUUGUGUAUUUGUUAAAAAAUCCAUAAAUGUAGAUAAUUUUAUUGAAGCCUCUGGCAUGUUUCAGAUGGUUGUUUUAAUCUUUUGGUAGUGGUUCUUGCUAGAUUUGCGGUUUCAUGGUUCAGAGAUCUUCUUCUGUCUUGCUUGUUUUUGAAAUCAAUGAUAGUAUAUAUCCAAUUUAAGUUUUUUA